ACACGCAUGACACACUGCAUAUCAAUAAGCGGAGGAAAAGAAACUAACUAAGGAUUCCCCUUAGUAACGGCGAGUGAAGCGGGAAGAGCUCAAAUUUGUAAAUCUUAAAGGGUUUCCCUUUACGAAUUGUAGUUUAAAGAAGUGUUUUCUGUUGGAGUUUCGGUAAAAGUUCUUUGGAAUAGGACAUCAUAGAGGGUGAGAAUCCCGUAUUUGACCAGUUACUUUCCAGCUGUGUGAUACACUUUCAAAGAGUCGGAUUGUUUGGGAAUGCAGUCCAAGAUGGGUGGUAAAUUUCAUCUAAAGCUAAAUACUGGCGAGAGACCGAUAGCGAACAAGUACCGUGAGGGAAAGAUGAAAAGAACUUUGAAAAGAGAGUUAAACAGUACGUGAAAUUGUCAAAAGGGAAGCGUUUGACACCAGUGUUGUUUUUCCGAGAAUCAAUUACGAAUGUUUUAUUUUUGAGGAGUUAUGACUUUCAUCGGCUUGCUCCUUUCUUUACUGAAACUUUCUUAAUGCACUUUUCGGUUAACAAGUCAACAUCAAUUUCUUUUGUUGUAAAAGGGUAUGAGGAAGGUGGCUUUCUUUUCGGAGAAAGUGUUUAUAGCCUUGUGCCUCUGCAAUCGGAGAGAUUGAGGGUCUGCAGCGUAGAUCCUUCGGGGUUAGAUACGUUUGUGCUAAGUUAUAGCUUUUCAUAGACAACUUGUUAACUAUGAUUCAGUCAUGUAGCUUACUCGCUGAUGUCAUUUUACCUACGCUUAGGAUGUUGAUAGUCACAGCGUGUAC
rnacentral:rRNA from 1 species